rnacentral:lncRNA from 10 species
AUUUCAUACUUAAAACAAUAUUCUAUGCAAAAUGCUAUAAUUUCCCCUUGCCUCCAAUUUACACAUGAUAAAACUGAGCCUAGUAAAAUUAAGUAUCAUGCCCCAAAGUUCUCUGCUUAGUAAGAAGUAGAGGCAAGCCCAAACCUAAGUCAUCUGAUUUCAGAGCCCAUACAGUUAAAUGCUCUAAAUGCAGCUUCCCGUGAUGAUGGUGACUAUGAGAGCCUGUCACAUGAUGUAGGACAGUGCUUCCCUGUAACAUGUGCAAGAUCCCAUGAUGAUGGUGAUUAUGAGAGCCUGUCACCUACGAUGUAGGACAGUCCUUCCCUGUAACAUGCACAAGAUUCCUGUGAUGAUGGUGACUAUGAGAGCCUGUCACAUGAUGUAGGACAGUGCUUCCCUGUAACAUGUGCAAGAUUCCCGUGAUGAUGGUGACUAUGAGAGCCUGUCACAUAUGAUGUAGGACAGUGCUUCCCUGUAACAUGUGCAAGAUUCCCAUGAUGAUGGUGACUAUGAGAGCCUGUCACAUAGGAUGUAGGACAGUGCUUCCCUGUAACAUGCACAAGAUUCACCCAGGGAUCUCUUUAAAAUGCAAAACCAUAGACCACACUUUGACUGGCUUGGAUAAGGGGUCAGAGCAUCGAAAUGAGUGUGUAGGUGACUGUGCUAAAAUUCUCCUGCUCAUGUGGGCACUGGCUCAUGAUAUUAACAAAGCUUAGGACCUCUAGUCCUUUCUGGAAAGAAAAUACACAUACAUAGCAUGUGACUGUGCAUAUGGAAUAUCUGUUGUGUUCUGGACAUUGUGCUGGACAACAGAGAUAAGAAGUCAAAUAUCCCUUGUCUCUAUCUGAAAGGAGCUUCC